rnacentral:rRNA from 1 species
AGACCUCGGCCCGCCGANUAGCUCGACGAACCCGGACCCCCCCGCGGGGGCCGAAGGUUCGCUUGCGUGGGCCUCGGCCCGAUCGUCCGUCCUCGGGGCCUCGGCCCCGGGGUCGGGCGGANCUUCUCGGAGGGACCCCCCGUACAGCGAAGCGGGUGGAGGCGCGAGGCGAAAACAGGUCUGUGAUGCCCUUAGAUGUUCCGGGCCGCACGCGCGUUACAGUGACGCGCCCAACGAGCUUCGACCCGGCCCGUAGGGGUCGGGUAACCAUCAGGACGCGUCGCGGUGGGGACGGACCGUUGCAACUGUCGUUCUCGAACCAGGAAUUCCUAGNAGGCGCGGGUCAUCAGCCCGCGCCGAUUGCGUCCCUGCCNNUUGUACACACCGCCCGUCGCUCCUACCGAUCGAA